rnacentral:rRNA from 1 species
UACGUAGGUGGCAAGCGUUGUCCGGAAUUAUUGGGCGUAAAGCGCGCGCAGGCGGUCUUUUAAGUCUGAUGUGAAAGCCCACGGCUCAACCGUGGAGGGUCAUUGGAAACUGGGGGGACUUGAGUGCAGAAGAGGAAAGUGGAAUUCCAAGUGUAGCGGUGAAAUGCGUAGAGAUUUGGAGGAACACCAGUGGCGAAGGGCGAACUUUCUGGUCUGUAACUGACGCUGAGGCGCGAAAGCGUGGGGAGCAAACAGGG